rnacentral:rRNA from 1 species
UACGUAGGGGGCAAGCGUUGUCCGGAUUUAUUGGGCGUAAAGAGCGUGUAGGCGGCCAGAUAGGUCCGUUGUGAAAACUGGAGGCUUAACCUCCAGCGGUCGAUGGAAACCAUUUGGCUAGAGUCCGGAAGAGGAGAGUGGAAUUCCUGGUGUAGCGGUGAAAUGCGCAGAUAUCAGGAAGAACACCAAUGGCGAAAGCAGCUCUCUGGGACGGUACUGACGCUGAGACGCGAAAGCGUGGGGAGCGAACAGG